AUAAUACCGGAUGACGCAUAUGUGCUGGAAUGCUUUAUGCGUAAAACGGAUUCGUCCGCCCAAGGAUGGGUCUGCGGCCUAUCGGGUAGUAGUGGGUGUAAUGUACCUACUAGCCAACAACGGGUACGGGUUGUGAGAGCAAGAGCCCGGAGAUGGAUUCUGAGACAUGAAUCCAGGCCCUACGGGGCGCAGCAGGCGCGAAAACUUUACAAUGCGGGAAACCGUGAUAAGGGAACACCGAGUGCCAGCAUCAUAUGCUGGCUGUCCAGAUGUGUAAACUACAUCUGUUAGCAAGGGCCGGGCAAGACCGGUGCCAGCCGCCGCGGUAACACCGGCGGCCCGAGUGGUGACCGUUAUUAUUGGGUCUAAAGGGUCCGUAGCCGGUUUGGUCAGUCCUCCGGGAAAUCUGAUAGCUUAACUGUUAGGCUUUCGGGGGAUACUGCCAGGCUUGGAACCAGGAGAGGUAAGAGGUACUACAGGGGUAGGAGUGAAAUCUUGUAAUCCCUGUGAGACCACCUGUGGCGAAGGCGUCUUACCAGAACGGGUUCGACGGUGAGGGACGAAAGCUGGGGGCACGAACCGGAUUAGAUACCCGGGUAGUCCCAGCCGUAAACUAUGCUCGCUAGGUGU
rnacentral:rRNA from 1 species